GGCCCACCGGUCGGCCCGAUCCGCGGUUCGUUACCAACGUGAGUGAGCUGUAGACAGUAGGGUACAUACAAACAACGGUUUAACGCAGAAGAUGGUUAAAAACUGAUCGCCGGUGAGAUCAGAAGCGCCAAUUGGUAUUUGGGCAGUCGAGGAAAUGGCGACCAACAACACUUGGUUGCUUCCUGAGAUCGGACCCGAUGGCCUUCCACGGGAAGCCCCUGUCAUCGCCUACACCGAAAAGAUAAUUGAGCAAGAGCAGCUUCAGUUGAAGAAAUACAUUGAAGAGAAUUAUUCCAAAAUCCGUGAUGUUGAGCGUGAGCUGGAGAAUCUUACAUUGGAUAUGAAACUCAUUGCUGGACCAAAAAAAGCAGCACUUGAACAUAUGAGGAAGAAAAUUGAAAUGUCAACUGAGAGAAUCCGUGUUGCAAAGCUGAAUGAAGAACAAGCACGAAAGAGUUGGGAGGCGGCAUCAAAGGCUGUAAAGGAUGAGGAAACUAUUAAAGAGAAGCUAUGCAAAGACUUAAACAAUCUGGUUCAAGAAAGCAGCAACACUCAGUUUGCUAGACUGGAGGAGUUGAAAAGGCGACUAGAAGCUUUGAACCCGAGCAGAUCAUCCAUUUCUGUCUCUUAUGAUGGGAAACCAAUGGGACCUAGAGAGAAUAGCCUUGCUUUGGAUGCUUCGUCUGUGCCUCCCUCAUUGGCACCAGGUGGAACAGAAAACAUAGCCAACAACGUAAAUGCUGGAAAUGCUCCAGGUGCAAAUGACCUCAAUCAACAACCUUCUGCUGAGGGCGAAGGAAAAGGGAAGAAGAAAAUUAUGAUACAGGUAAGAGGAAAGGGAUUAGGAGCUGUUCCUAAGGGUAGAGUACCUCCAACAACAGGUUGGACUGGGGCUGGGUUUGAUGUGGAUGGUAGAACUUGAGAGCACCAUUUCGGAAUCUAUUCUCCAUGCUAAGUUCAUGGGAUGAAAGAUUUAUCAGCAGGUCGUCAACUAGGUACAGAGAAGUUGGUCAGCCCGGUUAUUAAGACUGAUGACGUUUGCAUCCCAUGGAUCAUGCAAGUCAUCACAUGACACACGUAACCUCUCUCUUUCCCAAUUUCUCACUCCCAAAAUUUGGACCUGGGAAUGCUGUCAAGCAGGCAGUGGUCUUUGUGUAUCGAGACCGUUCAUCUCGGCAGUUAAUAGUUCGGAUUGAAAACAAAUUCUUCCACAGAUAAUUUUUUAAUCCGAACCACUGAAAACACUUUUGGAUAGCCCGAAUACACCCUGCACUGGGUGCACCCGCUUGGCUGGGACUGCUUGGUAGCGUUCCCGGAUGCCAAAAUUUUGGCCACAUGGAACGCCCGUCAUCUUGUUCUUCUCUACGUCACUGGCACCUUUCGUUUGAGUUAUACUGUGAGGAUGGUUUGGGACUAAACUAAUUACAGUCCAAUUACGGACGAAUAUCCUCUCCGGCCUCUCCAAGGGUGGAGAAAAUUCCUUUUCAGUGUCUUUGACCGUCGAGUCCGGCCCGCUUGUGGGUCUUUCUUGGGCAUAUUUGGAUGAUUUGAGACCAUUCAUUUUUUGAAUCUUGUCGGAAGUAUCAGUUGCGGCUACAAUCAUGUUGAUUGAUAUUGUUUGAUAUGCUUUCAAAUCAUGUCUAUUGUCUAUGUUGCUUAAAAUGUUUUGAUUCAAUGUUUCAAAAAACUUCACUCUUUUGACAUAAAUGUGACCAAUUGAUAUAUGAUGAAUAUGAUUUUUGAAGUAGCUAAUGUUCUCGAAGAGAUUCAUACAAUGAAUGGUCCCAAUCAUCACAGAGAGCCCAGGAAGAUCUCACAAACGGGCUGGCUAAACGGUUCAGAGUGAUCUGUUGAUCUACUAUUUUCUCAAUUUUUCCAAGUUCUGUCUCUACUUUGUUAUGCAUAUGAUUUUUUUUUUUAUCUAAACAAAUUAGAUAAAUCAAGUACACGAAGAUAAAUUAUUGUUUUAAGAAUGAUAAUAAAUGAUUUGCCGAGCAAAAAAAAAAAUGAUAAUAAAUUUAGAAGAGAUUAAAUCUUUCAGGUUUGGGAGGAAACGGGCGUUCGCCCGACAUUAGGCUGCGCCACGUUUUCAAACUAGUAAAAUGCUGAGAGAGUUAUCUUGUGCCCAACCAAUUAAACCAUAGGUUUGCAUAAUUAGCUAAAG